AGAAAGUGUAUUUAUACAAUAUAAAACUAUUUAUUUUGGCGGCAUUUCAUCUAAUCAGAGGAAUUUGUUAUUUAAUAGAUAAUACACUAUAAUUUUCACUUUAUUCUAAAAUUUAUAUACCUCCAUCAAAAGAAUUUAUUUAAAAAUAUAUUCAUAAUAAAAAUUUACAAGUUAGGUCAAGGUGUAGUUUACAUUAAAGUUUUAAUGAAUUACUUUGAAUAAAAUUUAAGAAUUAAAUAACAUUAAUUAUUUAUAAAAAAGGAUUUGAAAAUAAUUUUAAAAUAAAAUUUUAUUAUGAAUAAGAAAAUAAAUGUGU
rnacentral:rRNA from 1 species